rnacentral:rRNA from 1 species
AGAUUGAACGCUAGCGGGAUGCUUUACACAUGCAAGUCGAACGGCAGCGCGGACUUCGGUCUGGCGGCGAGUGGCGAACGGGUGAGUAAUAUAUCGGAACGUGCCCAGUAGCGGGGGAUAACUACGCGAAAGCGUGGCUAAUACCGCAUACGCCCUACGGGGGAAAGGGGGGAUCGCAAGACCUCUCACUAUUGGAGCGGCCGAUAUCAGAUUAGCUAGUUGGUGAGGUAAAGGCUCACCAAGGCGACGAUCUGUAGCUGGUUUGAGAGGACGACCAGCCACACUGGGACUGAGACACGGCCCAGACUCCUACGGGAGGCAGCAGUGGGAAUUUUGGACAAUGGGGGAAACCUGAUCCAGCCAUCCCGCGUGUGCGAUGAAGGCCUGGUGUAAGACACUUGUCUAGG